GGCAUGUAAGUGUCAUAAUUGUUGCAUUUUCUUGUUUUCUGAAACCACAUUUCUUUGUUUCAAAUGACGUGGUUAAAUUUCAAAAAUCAGGCUUGGAGACUGUUUAAAGAAGGCAGGCAUGUGGAGCUGGUUGGGGGAUUAAUAUUUGAAACUUGCAAAUUAUCUGAAGUUCUACGGUCGAUUCACAUAGGUCUAUUAUGUGUGCAAGAAAAUGCAAAAGAUAGGCCGAACAUGUCACAGGUGGUUUUGAUGCUGGGUAAUGAAGAUGAAUUGCCUCAGCCUAAACAUCCAGGUUUUUUUACUGGAAGGGAUCUUAUUGAAGCAAGCCAUUCAUUAAGUCAGAACAAACCAUGUUCUGCAAACGGAUGCUCGGUCUCCCUGUUAGAGGCACGGUAGAUUUGUAUCUGCCAUGUAUUUGCAGAAACUUUUAGUUGCUUCUAGCUUCUUCUUCUUUUUAUCAGCAUAAAAAUAAUGUACUUUGUUCAAGCACAACUUUAUGCAUCAGCAAUGAAGCUCAAAAUUGUCAGACAUUUGGAUUAAGUGCACAGGAAAGUAAUUGAAGAAAGAGCAAAAAAAUUAUAAUACUCCUACUAGCGUACUAGGCAUGUACGUUAACAUCUAGAAAGCAAGGAGGGAGAUCUCAAAUGGAGUAAAAAACCAAAAAUUAUGCUUGCAUAUAUCUAAAGAGAAAAAUCACAUGCCACCACUGGAAAUGACAACAAUAAGAGGCAAACACAAAUUUCAAGAAUUGGAGCUUGAAGGUAUUUACCUUUAUAGUGGCACAUUUGUAGUCUGUAGAGUUAGCUUCAAUUCCUUUCUGGGUUCGCAUUAAGGAGCGUGUGUGCUGUGCCCAUUUGAGAGGCUAAAAUGGAUGCCUUGGUACUUAGUAUUUGCAUUGCAAAAUCUCUGCACGCCGUGACACCGUUUCUCGUUGAGGAUUUUCGUCGAACACUUGCUGAAUCAAAAUAGUGAUCAGACGCUUUCAAUGGGUUGGGUGGACAAAAUGUUAAGACCAAGAACAAGGUCCAAAAGGCAAGUAUAAGCGCUUAACGAGUGGUGCAAGACCUGGAAAGAGCCUGCAGUGAGAGGUUAGCAAUUGCAUCAUUAAAAAUUCAUCGAAUGGGUUUGUAGUGUCUGUUACCGAUGAGGUUUUUAAUUUGCCAUGCUGUUUUUCUUAUAUACAAUAACUAAUAAAUAGAACCAUGUAUUAUUAUUUUUUCUAUCAUUUGAUGAACUUAAAUAUCAAAUAGAAAUACAUAUUUACUCAUUUAAACAUACUUAUUCAAAAUAAUUAAUUUUAAACUAGAAUUAUUCAUUAAAUUUAUUUCAAAA
rnacentral:lncRNA from 1 species